UACGUAGGUGGCAAGCGUUGUCCCGGAUUUACUGGGCGUAAAGGGGCUCGUAGGCGGCCAACUAAGUCGGAUGUGAAAUCCCCAGGCUUAACCUGGGAACUGCAUCCGAUACUGGAUGGCUUGAAUUCGGGAGAGGGAUGCAGAAUUCCAGGUGUAGCGGUGAAAUGCGUAGAUAUCUGGGAGGAAUACCGGUGGCGAAGGCGGCAUCCUGGACCGACAUUGACGCUGAGGAGCGAAAGCUAGGGGAGCAAACGGG
rnacentral:rRNA from 1 species